GAUGAUGAACGUAGCGAAAUGCGAUAAGUAGUGUGAAUUGCAGAAUUCAGUGAAUCAUCGAAUCUUUGAACGCACAUUGCGCCCCUUGGUAUUCCAUGGGGCAUGCCUGUUCGAGCGUCAUUUGUACCUUCAAGCUUUGCUUGGUGUUGGGUGUUUGUCUCGCCUUUGCGUGUAGACUCGCCUUAAAAUAAUUGGCAGCCGGCGUAUUGAUUUCGGAGCGCAGUACAUCUCGCGCUUUGCACUCAUAACGACAGCGUCCAAAAGUACAUUUUACACUCUUGACCUCGGAUCAGGUAGGGAUACCCGCUGAACUUAAGCAUAUCAAUAAGCGGAGGA
rnacentral:misc_RNA from 1 species